UUUUUUUUUUUUUUUUUUUUUUUUGGCUUUUUAGGCCCACACUGGUGGUAUAUGGAAGUUCCCAGGAUUGGGGUUGAAUUGGAGCUGCAGCUGUGGGCCUACACCACAGCCAUAGCAGCGAGGGAUCCGAGCCGCAUCUGCGAUGUACACCGUAGGUCAUGGCAAUGCCAGAUCCGUAACCUACUGAACGAUGCCAGGAAUUGAACCUGCAUCCUCAUGGAUACUAGUUGGGUUUGACAAUAACAUUAAUUGUAAUAAAAAGCAGUAGAGUUGCAUUGGCCUCAGGAUCAAAAUAGUAGUUGUCACCAGUCAUUUUCUUUACUGAGUAAGGUAGAUAAGGAAAGAGUUUGUGCUUCUGUAAUCAUUGUCUUUCUGUAGAGUUAUCAGACUAUUGUAUAUACAGGAGGCUUUACUAACCAACAGGUACUGCAGCUCUCCUUUUUUAAGUGUAAGGCAAAUAAUGGCCUUCCUUCCCACUGAGCCCAGGCUGAGCUUCAUGAGCCCUCAUCACUAGCUCACAAGAUAAAUCACUGCUAGUUUGAAAAUAAGCCAAUGAUUUUAGGGGAAAAAUACUAAAAAGCAGAUGGCUAUAAAUAAAACAGAAGGGUAUCAAGGAGUCUAUUCCCAGCCAAUUCUCUUCUGUCCGUAAAUGCCGGAAAAGUGCUGUGUUAGCACCAUAUGUUACUACAUUUGUUACCUGAAUCUUGCUCAUUAGUUAUUGGAAGGGAACAAAUGAAACUUUGAAAAUAAAGACUUACCUUGUUUUUCUAAGAUAAAAUAAAGCAUGUUAAUCUGAAGUUUUAGUUUCCUAAUCUGGGCAUCUCUGAGAAAAUCAUAAAUUUUGUUACAUUUUGGUUCAAAUCCUUCAAAGAUCUUACCACUGAUCUUUAUAAAUAGGACCUUCAUGAAUUUUCUCUUGAUAAUCUCAUUACAUUCCUCUGUUGCACUUUACAUUUCAGUGAUGGUUACCUGUUCUAGCCCUUCUCUACUAGACUGUGAACUCUAUGAGGAAAAGUCUCAGAACCUUGCACAAUACCUAGCAUGCAGUAGGCCUUCAGUAAAUGUUUAAAUUAAUUGAACUCUAAUUUGGUGACUCUGGGCAAAAUGCUUUGGCAGUGAGUAAAUUUUUUCCACUUUUAGUUUAUUCUAGAAUAGAGCAGUGAAGACUAGAGCUAAGAAGCAAGUUAGAAAACCAGAAAAUGCAGAUUUUGUGCCAACUCUGAAUCAUUGAGUUCAGUUCAACAUGCAUUUAUUGAAUAAUCAACAUUUCCUGCUGCUCAUGAAGUUUGGUAACUUGUAUGGUUAGCAGAGCCACGUUGUUUAAUAUGUAUAGAAUGAAGAGAGGAAUAUAAGGGAUGUAAGAAAUGCUUCAACUGUUGUGCUGAAGUUUGUGUUUCUUGUUUUUUUUAAUUUGGACUCCAGAGACAACUUGUAAAGACAAGAGCAUGAGUACUUCAAAUUUUCUUUCGAAAACUGAGUCAUAGAUGUUGCAUUUCAAGCCAAGUAAAGGUUUGAUUAUUUUACACUUCAUGGCUUUUUAAAAUUCCAGUUGCUAUAACAACUUUGAUAUUUCUUUAUUAUUUUUAGCACUUCAGUUGCCAUAACAAUAAGAUAUCUUAAAAAAUAGCAAUUUUCUUUUAUAAGGGAAAAAUCUCUUUCAAUUAAAAAUGAAUUUAAUCAACAUUUCUUUCCUAUAAUGUGAACCCAUUAUUUAAGAUGUAAUUGUGCUGUUCUGUUUUCAUAUAAUUUUAACAGACUUUCCCAGAAAAUAUUUUAAGGUUCAACUUUUUCCUCUGUUUUUUUAUUGUACAAAAAUUAAAGAGAGGUGGCUGUAAUGGACCCAUUCUUAGAUAUUAGUAUUUGAUGGGAUUUCAUUGAUCUAAAAAUCUCAUUAAACAAUUUAAUUUCCAGAUUUGUUAUUUAAAGUAAAAGAAGAACAUGAUUGAUGGGUAGCUCUUACAUCAACCAUUUAAGAAAGCUUAGGUUUUCCUUCUCUCACUCACUAUCUCUCUCUUUUUUCUAUGGCUGCACCUAUGGCACAUGGAAGUUCUCUGGCCAUGGUUCGAAUUGGAGUUGCACCUGAGGCCUACGCCACAGCCAUGGCAACAUGAAAUUCAAGCCACAUCUGCAGGCUACACCACGACUUGUGGCAACGCCAGAUCCUUAACCUACUGAGUGAGGCCAGGCAUCAAACCCACAUCCUCAUGGACACUCUGUCAGUUCUUAACCCACUGAGCCACAGUGGGAAUUCCUCCGUUUUUCUUAAGUUAUUUUGAAGUGUAUUUAUGUCUAUUAUCAUAUUAAAAUAGUUACCGCCUCACUUACCUAGCAGUAACUGACAGCUCAGACCUGAGCUAUGGCACUUUACUUAUAGAGCAAUACUUCUGUUUACUCUUUGAUGAAAAAUUCUUAUAAACUUGGUUUCUGCUAUUUAAUCCUCUAAAAAAAAUUAAAGAUAGCAAAUUAGAAGAGGAAGGAAGAGUACUGCUCUAUUUAUAUAGUGUCAAAAAUAUAAGGAGCUGUAUAUUCUUUUCUGUGCAAAUGGAGUCAGAAAAUACAGGGAGCUAUAUGUUCUUUUCUAGGUACCUAGUUACUUGUAGAAAUUUUUAACAAGCCUCUUUAAAAAUAUAUGUAUAUUGAAUCAAACAGCUACAAAGGUAUGAUUUUACUAUAAGAUAGUUUUCUAAUUGGCAUUAACAGGGAUGAUCCCAGCCUACCAGACAAACAUUGCUAUGUUCAGAAUUCUCAAUUUAAGACACAGAGGAGCGGAUGAUACAUCUUAUAAAGAUUUAAAUGUAAAAUUGAAUAAAGUAAAACAAAAUUUUUAAAAAUUUAAAAAAGGGAAACCUUCAGUUAUUGGGAUUUGCAGGAUCUAUGUAGCAGAUUUUUAUGGACCAAGGUUUGGUAAUUUUUAUAUUACUGUGUGGCUAAUCACAUAAAUUUCCCAAGAUGCUUGUUUGGGUUUACAUAAUGUAUUUCUUUUAAGAAUGUAUUUUUUAAAGGGAAUGUUGAGGGAGAUGGCAACUCAAGAGAAAAGUGAAGGUAUUGUUUUAAAUUUCCUAAUCCCAACAAAUUACUCGUAAGUAUGGUUUUUAAGGAGAAAUGAUUAAACAAAAAGCCUGUUGAUAUUAAAGAAUAUGUUUACUAUCAGUGAGUUUUGAAUAGCUGCUAUAUGCUUUUCCUGGUUUGUAUUUAGUUUCUAAUUCAUACCAACUUUAAAAGUAUUAUUUUACCUCAUUUUUGCAGAAGGAAACUGAGACAUUUGGAGAGAAUCAUGUACUCAAGGCCUCAUAGUUAAUGACUGCUGCAGCCAGUGCUAACGCAAAUCUGGCUCAUUCUAAAGCUUUAUUUUCUUCUCUAGGUCAUGGUCUUUCCUAGACUUCAAACUUAAUAAAUAUGCAUUAAAGGUAAUAAUGUGACCUGGAGAAAAUGGAAAGAUCAUACUGUUUCUGGCUUUAUUUUAUUGCUUUAUGUACUGUUUUUGCCCAAUUAAUUUUAUUUUAAUUAAUAUUUUAUAUUUGUGAGUUUCCCCUACUGAGUUAAAAAUGCACAUAAAUUAGUAUUUUCUUUGUCCAUUUUCCUUUGUGAUUGACUAAAAAUAAUGGAUUCUCUCAAAGGUUUUACUUUCUCAGCCAGUUGUCGUAGAUCCUAGCUAGCUAGGGCAGUAUCAGAGUGUUGUGUAACUGACAUUUAAUAAGAAGCCUUUUCUCACUCAGUGUCUCACUUGCAUCUGGGCUGUUGUGUCUGUGAGUACAAACACUGAGCCAUGAGUCAGGUAUAAUGAUUGAGAGAGUGUGAAAGUAGACACGGGCUAAAUGUACUUAUUCUGUCCAGCAGUAUCUGUUCUUUUAGACAUUUCAGUAGCCCUCAUUCUUGAUGGGAUUUUGCUUAGGAGGAUUCUGGUGUUUUUCUUUUUAAACAUCAAUAUAUAUGAUUUGCUGGCAGUUCCUUAAAAUUCACGCCAGUGUUUUAACUCUCUAAUUUGAUGGUUUUGUACUGAAAUGAGGGCACUUGGAAUAAGCAAAUGUAAUUAUCUUUAUCAUUCUCCUAGGCUAUAGCUUAUAUAUAGAUGAAAUGCACAGAUCUUAAGUGUUACAUUUUGGUAUGUUUAACAUAUAUGCAUGCAUAUAACCCACAGUUAUUAAAAUACAAAAUGUUUUCAUCAUCCCUGAAGGUUUCCUUAUACCUCUUGCCAGUAAACACACAUACACACCUCUGAGGCAACUAUGUUUUGAUUUCUUUCAUCAAAACUUAGUUGUAUCUGUUCCAGAACUUCAUUGAAUGGACAUAUCACAAUUUGUUUAUC
rnacentral:lncRNA from 1 species